GUGCUCGAGUGGCGAACGGGUGAGUAACACGUGAGUAACCUGCCCUUGACUUUGGGAUAACUUCAGGAAACUGGGGCUAAUACCGGAUAGGAGCUCCUGCUGCAUGGUGGGGGUUGGAAAGUUUCGGCGGUUGGGGAUGGACUCGCGGCUUAUCAGCUUGUUGGUGGGGUAGUGGCUUACCAAGGCUUUGACGGGUAGCCGGCCUGAGAGGGUGACCGGCCACAUUGGGACUGAGAUACGGCCCAGACUCCUACGGGAGGCAGCAGUGGGGAAUAUUGCACAAUGGGCGGAAGCCUGAUGCAGCAACGCCGCGUGCGGGAUGACGGCCUUCGGGUUGUAAACCGCUUUCGCCUGUGACGAAGCGUGAGUGACGGUAAUGGGUAAAGAAGCACCGGCUAACUACGUGCCAGCAGCCGCGGUGAUACGUAGGGUGCGAGCGUUGUCCGGAUUUAUUGGGCGUAAAGGGCUCGUAGGUGGUUGAUCGCGUCGGAAGUGUAAUCUUGGGGCUUAACCCUGAGCGUGCUUUCGAUACGGGUUGACUUGAGGAAGGUAGGGGAGAAUGGAAUUCCUGGUGGAGCGGUGGAAUGCGCAGAUAUCAGGAGGAACACCAGUGGCGAAGGCGGUUCUCUGGGCCUUUCCUGACGCUGAGGAGCGAAAGCGUGGGGAGCGAACAGGCUUAGAUACCCUGGUAGUCCACGCUGUAAACGGUGGGUACUAGGUGUGGGGUCCAUUCCACGGGUUCCGUGCCGUAGCUAACGCUUUAAGUACCCCGCCUGGGGAGUACGGCCGCAAGGCUAAAACUCAAAGGAAUUGACGGGGCCCCGCACAAGCGGCGGAGCAUGCGGAUUAAUUCGAUGCAACGCGUAGAACCUUACCUGGGUUUGACAUGGAUCGGGAGCGCUCAGAGAUGGUGUGCCUCUUUUGGG
rnacentral:rRNA from 1 species